UACGUAGGGUGCGAGCGUUAAUCGGAAUUACUGGGCGUAAAGCGUGCGCAGGCGGUUCGUUGUGUCGGUGGUGAAAUCCCCGGGCUUAACCUGGGAAUGGCCAUGGAAACUGGCGAACUGGAGUGCGGCAGAGGGGGGUGGAAUUCCGCGUGUAGCAGUGAAAUGCGUAGAGAUGCGGAGGAACACCGAUGGCGAAGGCAGCCCUCUGGGCUAACACUGACGCUCAGGCACGAAAGCGUGGGGAGCAAACAGG
rnacentral:rRNA from 1 species